GGCGAGAUAGUGUAAAGGUAACAUAAAUGACUCAUGAUCAUUUGAUUUAGGUUCGAAUCCUAAUUUCGCCU